GAGACUAAUUUGAAGGGAGGGCACAUAUACUAAAAUUGGAACGAUACAGAGAAGAUUAGCAUGGGCCCUGCGCAAGGAUGACACGCAAAUUCGUGAAGCAUUCCAUAUAAAA